rnacentral:rRNA from 1 species
CCCCGAGGAAAAGAAAUCAACCGAGAUUCCCCCAGUAGCGGCGAGCGAACGGGGAGGAGCCCAGAGCCUGAAUCAGUGUGUGUGUUAGUGGAAGCGUCUGGAAAGGCGCGCGAUACAGGGUGACAGCCCCGUACACAAAAAUGCACAUGCUGUGAGCUCGAUGAGUAGGGCGGGACACGUGGUAUCCUGUCUGAAUAUGGGGGGACCAUCCUCCAAGGCUAAAUACUCCUGACUGACCGAUAGUGAACCAGUACCGUGAGGGAAAGGCGAAAAGAACCCCGGCGAGGGGAGUGAAAAAGAACCUGAAACCGUGUACGUACAAGCAGUGGGAGCCUCUUUAUGGGGUGACUGCGUACCUUUUGUAUAAUGGGUCAGCGACUUAUAUUCUGUAGCAAGGUUAACCGAAUAGGGGAGCCGAAGGGAAACCGAGUCUUAACUGGGCGUUAAGUUGCAGGGUAUAGACCCGAAACCCGGUGAUCUAGCCAUGGGCAGGUUGAAGGUUGGGUAACACUAACUGGAGGACCGAACCGACUAAUGUUGAAAAAUUAGCGGAUGACUUGUGGCUGGGGGUGAAAGGCCAAUCAAACCGGGAGAUAGCUGGUUCUCCCCGAAAGCU